rnacentral:tRNA from 1 species
AGAAGAUUAGUUAAACAUAUAACAUAAGAAUGUCAACCUUAAAUUAUUAUUAAUUAAUAUCCUCUA